rnacentral:sRNA from 1 species
AGGCUUCCAGCGUCGGUACCAUGGCGACGCGCGGUGGGGCUGGGGUGGCAAUGGCGGCUUGGUCCCUCUUAUCCGCCCGGGCCGUGACCGCGUUCCUUCUGUUGUUCCUCCCUCGCUUCUUACAGGCCCAGACCUUCUCUUUCCCUUUCCAGCAGCCGGAGAAGUGCGACAACAACCAGUACUUUGAUAUCUCCGCCCUCUCGUGUGUUCCUUGUGGAGCUAACCAGAGGCAAGAUGCCCGAGGAACUUCAUGUGUAUGUCUACCAGGAUUUCAGAUGAUCUCUAAUAAUGGAGGACCUGCUAUUAUUUGUAAAAAGUGCCCAGAAAACAUGAAAGGUGUUACAGAAGAUGGCUGGAACUGCAUUUCUUGCCCUAGUGACUUAACUGCCGAAGGAAAAUGUCACUGUCCCAUUGGCCAUAUUUUAGACAGCAACUCUGGAAAGUGGCUUCUAACUCGGCGCAUUUUCUUAGUGGAUGCAGUAAGUGGACGAGAAAAUGACUUAGGAACUCAGCCAAGAGUAAUUCGAGUUGCUACUCAAAUAUCACUGAGCGUCCACCUUGUACCCAACACAAUAAAUGGAAACAUCUACCCUCCCUUAAUCACCAUUGCCUACAGUGACAUUGAUAUCAAAGAUGCCAACAGCCAGUCUGUGAAGGUUUCUUUCUCAGUCACAUAUGAAAUGGAUCAUGGAGAAGCACAUGUCCAGACAGAUAUUGCUUUGGGUGUAUUGGGUGGGCUAGCUGUUUUAGCAUCUCUUUUGAAGACAGCAGGAUGGAAGAGGCGCAUUGGGAGUCCCAUGAUUGAUUUACAGACAGUUGUGAAAUUCUUGGUGUACUAUGCUGGUGAUCUAGCCAAUGUUUUCUUUAUCAUCACAGUGGGAACAGGUCUUUACUGGCUUAUUUUCUUCAAAGCACAGAAGUCUGUGUCUGUUUUGCUGCCAAUGCCAGUUCAGGAAGAACGUUUUGUCACUUAUGUUGGAUGUGCCUUUGCUCUGAAGGCACUACAAUUUUUGCAUAAGCUCAUAUCCCAGAUUACAAUAGAUGUAUUCUUUAUUGAUUGGGAGCGACCUAAAGGAAAGGUUCUUAAAGCUGUUGAAGGUGAGGGUGGUGUACGAAGUGCCACUGUUCCUGUAAGCAUAUGGAGAACAUAUUUUGUAGCAAAUGAAUGGAAUGAAAUUCAGACUGUGAGAAAAAUUAAUUCACUCUUUCAAGUACUUACUGUCCUCUUCUUUUUGGAGGUUGUGGGAUUCAAGAACUUAGCAUUAAUGGACUCAUCUUCUAGUCUUUCUAGAAACCCACCUAGCUACAUAGCUCCUUAUAGCUGCAUUUUGAGAUAUGCAGUGUCUGCUGCUCUUUGGCUAGCCAUUGGAAUUAUACAGGUCGUGUUCUUUGCUGUCUUUUAUGAGAGAUUUAUAGAAGAUAAAAUUCGACAGUUCGUUGAUUUAUGCUCUAUGAGUAAUAUAUCAGUGUUUCUGUUAUCCCACAAAUGUUUUGGAUAUUACAUUCAUGGUAGAUCAGUACAUGGGCAUGCAGAUACUAAUAUGGAAGAAAUGAAUAUGAACCUUAAAAGAGAAGCGGAAAAUUUGUGUAGCCAGAGAGGUUUGGUACCCAACACAGAUGGUCAGACUUUUGAGAUUGCAAUUUCUAACCAGAUGAGACAGCAUUAUGACAGAAUUCAUGAGACACUAAUAAGGAAAAAUGGUCCUGCUAGACUACUGAGUUCAUCAGCAAGUACUUUUGAGCAGAGUAUAAAAGCAUAUCAUAUGAUGAAUAAAUUUCUUGGCUCCUUCAUUGACCAUGUUCAUAAGGAAAUGGAUUACUUUAUAAAAGAUAAGUUGCUUCUUGAAAGAAUUCUUGGAAUGGAAUUCAUGGAACCAAUGGAAAAAAGCAUCUUUUACAAUGGUAUCUUCUAAAUCCCUUUGUAGAACUUGAUAACUGUUUUCAAAGUUUGAGAAAAAAGUGCUUGUAGAUAUUUUUCUUUUUUUC